rnacentral:rRNA from 1 species
GAUGAACGCUAGCGGGAGGCCUAAUACAUGCAAGUCGAACGGUAACAGGUAGCAAUACGCUGACGAGUGGCGCACGGGUGCGUAACGCGUACACAAUCUGCCUUAUACUGGGGCAUAGCCUUUGGAAACGAAGAAUAAUUCCCCAUAACAUAUAGAAGAGGCAUCUCUUUUAUAUUAAAGCUCAGGCGGUACAAGAUGAGUGUGCGUCCGAUUAGGUAGUUGGUGAGGUAACGGCUCACCAAGCCAACGAUCGGUAGCUGGUCUGAGAGGAUGAUCAGCCACACGGGCACUGAGACACGGGCCCGACUCCUACGGGAGGCAGCAGUAGGGAAUAUUGGACAAUGGGCGCAAGCCUGAUCCAGCCAUCCCGCCGUGAAGGAUGAAGGUCCUCUGAGUUGUAAACUUCUUUUCUUCGGGAAUAAAAACUAGGGUUGUCCUCAGCUUG